GACGUAGGGCGCGAGCGUUGUUCGGAUUUACUGGGCGUAAAGGGCGCGUAGGCGGCCACCGCAAGUCGACUGUGAAAUCUCCGGGCUUAACCCGGAAAGGUCAGCCGAUACUGCGGGGCUAGAGUGCAGAAGGGGCAACUGGAAUUCUCGGUGUAGCGGUGAAAUGCGUAGAUAUCGAGAGGAACACCUGCGGCGAAGGCGGGUUGCUGGGCUGACACUGACGCUGAAGCGCGAAAGCUAGGGGAGCGAACGGG
rnacentral:rRNA from 1 species